UCGUAGUUGGAUUCCUGGCCUGGGGUAGCCGGUCCGCCUUGCAAAAGGUGCGCACUGUGCGGCCUCGGCCAUCCUUGAGAAGAGCUGUUCUGGCAUUCAGUUGUCGGGGCGGGGAUUCUCGACGUUUACUGUGAAAAAAUCAGAGUGUUCAAAGCAGGCUUACGCCUUGAAUACAUUAGCAUGGAAUAAUGAGAUAGGACCUUGGCGGUCUAUUUUGUUGGUUUGCACGCCGAGGUAAUGAUUAAAAGGGACGGUUGGGGUUCUUCGUAUUCAAUUGUCAGAGGUGAAAUUCUUGGAUUUAUGGAAGACGAACUGCUGCGAAAGCGUCGAACAAGGACGUUCUCAUUAAUCAAGAACGAAAGUUAGGGGAUCGAAGAUGAUUAGAUACCAUCGUAGUCUUAACCAUAAACUAUGCCGAUUCAGGAUUGGCGGUCGUUUGUUCUCGACUCCGUCCCACUGUAUGAGAAAUCAAAUCUUUGGGUUCCGGGGGGAG
rnacentral:rRNA from 1 species